GGGCGCUUAGCUCAGCUGGCCAGAGCGCUGCCUUUACACGGCAGAGGUCACAGGUUCGAGCCCUGUAGCGCCCA
rnacentral:tRNA from 1 species